CUACGAAGGGGGCAAGCGUUGUUCGGAAUAACUGGGCGUAAAGCGCACGUAGGCGGAAUGUUAAGUUAGAGGUGAAAUCCCAGGGCUCAACCCUGGAACUGCCUUUAAUACUGGCAAUCUAGAGACCGAGAGAGGUGAGUGGAAUUCCGAGUGUAGAGGUGAAAUUCGUAGAUAUUCGGAGGAACACCAGUGGCGAAGGCGGCUCACUGGCUCGGUACUGACGCUGAGGUGCGAAAGCGUGGGGAGCAGACAGGAUUAGAAACCCUAGUAGUCC
rnacentral:rRNA from 1 species